AGAGUUUGAUCCUGGCUCAGGACGAACGCUGGCGGCACGCUUAACACAUGCAAGUCGAACGAAGUUAUUUGAGCUUGCUUAGAUAACUUAGUGGCGGACGGGUGAGUAACACGUGAGCAAUCUGCCUUUCAGAGGGGGAUACCGAUUGGAAACGAUCGUUAAUACCGCAUAACAUAGUAAAUUCGCAUGUUUUUACUAUCAAAGAUUUAUCGCUGAAAGAUGAGCUCGCGUCUGAUUAGGUAGUUGGUGAGGUAACGGCCCACCAAGCCGACGAUCAGUAGCCGGACUGAGAGGUUGAACGGCCACAUUGGGACUGAGACACGGCCCAGACUCCUACGGGAGGCAGCAGUGGGGAAUAUUGCACAAUGGAGGAAACUCUGAUGCAGCGAUGCCGCGUGAGGGAAGAAGGUUUUCGGAUUGUAAACCUCUGUGUACAGGGACGAUAAUGACGGUACCUGUUCAGAAAGCUCCGGCUAACUACGUGCCAGCAGCCGCGGUAAUACGUAGGGAGCGAGCGUUGUCCGGAAUUACUGGGUGUAAAGGGAGUGUAGGCGGGACGGCAAGUCAGAUGUGAAAUUUAGGGGCUCAACCCCUGACCUGCAUUUGAAACUGCUGUUCUUGAGUGAAGUAGAGGUAAGCGGAAUUCCUAGUGUAGCGGUGAAAUGCGUAGAUAUUAGGAGGAACAUCAGUGGCGAAGGCGGCUUACUGGGCUUUAACUGACGCUGAGGCUCGAAAGCGUGGGGAGCAAACAGGAUUAGAUACCCUGGUAGUCCACGCCGUAAACGAUGAUUACUAGGUGUGGGGGGACUGACCCCUUCCGUGCCGGAGUUAACACAAUAAGUAAUCCACCUGGGGAGUACGGCCGCAAGGUUGAAACUCAA
rnacentral:rRNA from 1 species